GUAAGAAUAUUUUUAUCUUGAUGCAGGGUAUUGCCGCAGUCUGGCUGGGCACAAAUCAUGAGCCACUCAAGCAGGAACAAACUUUAUUUCCGAACUCCCCCGAAUGCCACCCACGUGGUCCUUCCAGCGACACCACACACCAACCAGAACUCCCUCCACCGAACUUCACCAACCAACUCGAACUCUCCAGGAAUCCCCAUGAGAGCUCAACCAGAACUCAACUCAACGGGAACUCCGAGAGAACUCAAAAGUAGCGGGAGCCUGAGGCAGCAGGAGCCGCCCUAUUGCCGGACAGCAGGGGUCUAAUAUACAACUGAAUACACAGCCUGUUUCAAUCCAGCAUCAUUCAGUCACAGCAAUUAUACACAGCUUAAUUUAAUUAUCAUCAUCUUAAUGGCUCGCUGGCAUCACCUCUCAACCACUCUUUCUGGCAAAAAUGCCAGGCGUUAUCCCGACUCAGCUGUGGCUCUCAACAGGGUAUUAAUGUUAGAACAAAAUAUAUUCUUACUCUGCUUCACUCUGAAGUAAAUAGUUAAUACAUUGUCCAAAUACUCUUGGGGUUUCAAUUUUCAAAAUCA
rnacentral:lncRNA from 1 species